AGUGAACGCUGGCGGUAGGCCUAACACAUGCAAGUCGAACGGCAGCACCGUGAGUGCUUGCGCUUACGGGUGGGGAGUGGGGGGCGGGUGGGGUGUAUAUCGGGAUCUGCUUUUUCGGAGGGGUUCAGGUAGGGGAACUUAAGCUAGUACCGCAUACGGACUACGGGGGAGAGCGGGGGAUCGUCGGAUCGGGCGUGGAUGGAGGCGCGGAUGUCGGAUUAGUUAGUCGGCGGGCUAAAGACCCACCAAGUCGACGAUCGGCAGAUGGUCUGGGUGGCUGGUCAGACACACUGGAACUUAGACACGGUCCAGACUCCUACGAGAGGCAGCAGUGGGGAAUAUUGGACAAUGGGCGCAAGCCUGAUCCAGCCAUCCCGCGUGUGUGAAGACGGCCUUCGGAUUGUAAAGCCCUUCUGUGGGGAAAAAACCGCAUUAGGUUAAUACCCAGCUGUUCUGACGGUACCCAAAGAAUAAGCACCGGCUAACUUCGUG
rnacentral:rRNA from 1 species